AUGUACCCACGUACAUUCCGGUUCCUCCGCGCGGUCCGCACCCACCUGACGACUGCUCGCUACGUUUUGUUGGCC
rnacentral:sRNA from 1 species